rnacentral:lncRNA from 1 species
CUUGAUGGGGAUGGCAUUGAAUCUAUAAAUUACCUUGAGCAGUAUGGCCAUUUUCACAAUAUUGAUUCUUUCUACCCAUGAGCAUGGAAUGUUCUUCCAUUUGUUUGUAUCCUCUUUUAUUUCCUUGAGCAGUGGUUUGUAGUUCUCCUUGAAGAGGUCCUUCACAUCCCUUGUAAGUUGGAUUCCUAGGUAUUUUAUUCUCAUAAAAGAAAAUUUUUAUCUUUUAUCAUAGAACUACAACUUUGGUUAAACAAUGUAUGUAGCUGAUUAUAUUCUUUUGACAAUUCUAUCAAAUUUCCAAGAGUUAUAGUUUUCUCCCCUCCCCCAAGACAUUUGGAGAGCACAUGGACAUCUGUGUCCCGGCCUCACGGUACCUCCCUCAUCCCCAUGGAAAGAGGAAGAUGAGAGAAGGGAGGGAGGCCUUUGGCAGCCAAGGGAAGACAAGUUUCAGGAGUUCAUGAAGCACCAUCCCCCACCCCCAGUGAAGACCCUACCAGAAGGUCUUAUGUUCUGAGCUAUAUUGAGUGACUGCCUCAUUACCACUCCCUACUGUUAUGUGGCAAGUGUCAGGGCUGUGGCAAGGGUCAGGCUAUCAUCAUUGGCCCCUUCAAUAGACUGACCCUAGCAUUAGGGCAACCAUAAGUCCCUGUGUGCCCAAGACAAUCCUAGUUUACAUCUGAGGCCCCAGUGUCACUAUUAAUAGUGACCUCCUUUCACUCUCAAAGUUGUUCCAGUUUGGGCAAUGAAUUAUAUGAUCAAAGGCCCCAUCUCCUUUCAUCUGUCUGUCUCUCUUUUUUUCCCUUCCAUAGAGAUUUUAUCCAUCCCCACAGCUUAAAAUUCUUUCCCUCUGAAGAUAACUACUGAAUUUUCAUCUCUGUCUUUUUGCCCUGAGUCCACAAUUUCCGCUUGGAUACUGAAACAGUCACCCUCUCAGUGCUGGUGGAAAUGACACAAACUGACAAGUAUUUAUUUAGCCUCAUUCCCAUCACUCACCACUGCCACCCAGAAAAGUGUCACCUGAGUAUUUAUUGCAUGCAGCCCCAACACUAAAGAAAGAUCAGAAAUAUUUGUUCCCGUGGUGGAAAAUAAAGGGCUAUUUGCCCACGUCGCCAGGCUUCCUCUGGAAAGCAUCUGGGAAUCAUUCCAGAAAUUCAAUUUCCAGGUGUGUGUUUCUUUAAGGAAAUAUUGUGGAGUAGAGAAGGAACGCACUGUGCAGGUGCCAUUGGCUGUGGGCGUUGCUAUGGCAGAUCAGCCUUAUUACUGAAUAGCAAAGGAAGGAGUCACCAGGAAAACACAACAUGAACAGGCAGAGUGCACACGCCGUGGCCUCGGGAAGCCACAAUCAUGUGGCUGACAUGGUUCCAGAGUGUGGCAUUAGGGAGACCAACUUCUGAGCUGCAGAUUCACAGCAUGGCCAUGCAGGCAGGGAAGAUGUGCUCUACUCCAGGAUCAAGGAGCAAGCCCAUAUUUCCUCUUGAUUCUGGGACUCCCUCUUGAGACUGAUUUGCUCUAAUGUUAGCUCUUGAGAGAACUGGGGUCCCUGCCUUCUUGGGGAGCCUGAAAAGAAGUUUUGCUGUCUGGGCAUCACAGCAUCCAGAGUGUACAGGAGACAGGUCAGCAGCUGCGGUCAGCAGAGGCACACACGCCAGCCCCUGGAGAUGGGUGGCUUGUCCUGAGCCAAAGCUGGGCUGGUUUAUAAACAGCACCUGUGAAAAGAAGAGGGAUGACUCCAGUGGGACAUUCCUGAACCAUGUGCACCUAUUCACCUAGGAGAAGGAAUGGCUGGAGUUGCAUCUAUCUUUCUGUUUAUGAAAUAUGGGCCCAACUCCAGCGACAACAUAAUUUUUAGACCAUUUAGUGGAAUAAUAAAAGUCAAAAGAGGAAAGAGAACUUACAUGGAUUGAACACCCACUGCAUGCUUAGCUCUCUGCUAGGUGCAUUACAGAAAAGAGCUUAUUGAAUUCUUACGCAAACCCUUGAGGAUGAAUGGCCGCUCACCUGGAGUCUUGAUAGCCAGGUGAUGCAGAUUUAGGAGAAGAAGUCCACCUCAGGUCAGGUUUCCCCAAAGGCAGAUCCUGAGAUGAGGAAUCCAGGACCUAUCACUUACUUGGGAGAGGCAGAGUUUCCUUAUGUUGCCCAGGCUGGCCUCAAAGUCCUGACCUCUAGCCAUCCUCCUGCCUUGGCCUCCCAAAGUGCAGGAAUUACAGGUAAUAAUACGGUUUGGAUGUGUGUCCCCUGUGAAUCUCAUGUUGAAAUGUAAUCCCCCAUGUUGGAGGUGGGACCUGUUGGGAGGUGACUGGAUCAUGGAGGCAGAUUUCUCAUGACUGUCUAAGAAUCCCCCUAGUGACGAGUGAGUUCUCCCUCAGUUAGUUCACGUGAGAUCUGCUUGUUUAAGAGUCUGGGACCUCCCUCUUCUCUCUUCUUGCCCCCACAUCUCACCAUGUGACGCACCUGCUCUCCCUGUGCCUUCCACCAUGAUUGGACGCUUCCUGAGGCCCUCACCAGGAGCAGAUCCCAGCACCAUGCUUCCUGUCCAGCCUGCAGAACUGAGAGCCAAUUAAACCUCUUUUCUUAAUAAAUUACCCAGCCUCAGGUAUUUCUUUAUUGCAAUGAAAAAGAAGACAAACACAGCUAAUAAUAAGUGUUUGAGCAGAGAUCUAAAGAAGUGAGGACGCGAGGAUCCUGGGGACAGCAUUCUAGGAAGUGGGUGCAGGAAAUAUGAAAGCCAUGCAAUGAGAAUACUUUAUUCUCAUAAAUAAAGUGGUUUAUGAGUACUUGCUAUAAAGAGUACAAAAUACAGUAAUAGAUGAAAGAGGAAUUGGAGGUUGAAAAGAGAUUUAUUGAUCUGUUAGUUGUUUAAUUUAAUAUAGGAUGUUAUCGCAUGUUAGUAUGCCAAUGGGAUGAACCACAAGAAAUAGGAAAAUCAAUGAUACGAGAGAAAGAUGUCAAGUCCUUGAAUAGGAAAGAGGGCUAGGGCCCUGUGUACAGGUGGCAGAUGCCCUGGACCAAGGCUGUGGCAGGCCAUCCCUUGCAGCAGGAAGAAAUGCAGAGGAUAAAAAUACAGCCACAAGAAACAUUCCUGAAUGCUUAGGGAAAUUGCUUUCCUCUUAAAAAUUUCCAAAAAUUCAUCUUAAGCACCUAUUAAAUGGCUCUUCUGGAGCUGAAGGUUUUGUGCUGCCUGCCAAGCAAUGAUUUGGGGUUCACAGCCAAUCCCAGGGGAGUAAAAGCAGGGACAGGAGGUCAGAGAACACAUUCUCUUCCAUCUGUGCAUGCCUUCAAUAAACGUUGGAUUGACUGGAAUUAUGAGAAACUAAAAUCAUUUGUUGAAGAUCUGCUUAAAAGAUAUUUACAGAUGGUGCAGAAAACCAUUAUCCUGAGGAAGGAAUUACAACCUCCACAGACAGUAUUGGGACUGUCCUAAGAAGAUCGGUCUGAAGGCGGGAACCCUGUCCUGAUGGGAUGCUUCACUACUGAGAACUGGGACGGGUCCAUUGACUCUGUGUCUGUUCAAUGACAUGACCAUUUCUUAGGCGGCAAGUUCCCUGAAGGAAGUGGUCGUGUCUUAGUCAAUAUUCAGUGGCUUCCCCCACCACUCCAGAAGCUCAGUCAAGGAGUGGCAGCACAAAGAACAACAGGGCCUGCAGCUCACAGUUGUUAAAGAUGGAGAGCAGAUCUCCCAGAGAGAAAAGGAGACCCUCUUCACAUCAUGUUCUCUCAUUGGCUUCUUCCUGAAGUCUGAGGCCUGAACCCCCAAAUACUGCUAAUAAAAAGAUUUUUUAAAAUUUAAAUUUUAGAAUCAGGGGGUACAUGUGCAGGUUUGUUACAAGGGUCUGUUGCGUGAUGCUGGGGUUUCGGUUUGUAUUGAUCCUAUCACCCAGAUAGUGAACAGAGUACCUAACAGGAAGAUUUUCAGCCCUUGUUCUCCUCCCUCUCUCCUCCUUUUGGAGUCCCCAGUGUCUAUGGAAGGGUAUUUCCUAGGUUUUCUUCUAGGAUUUCAAAGCUUGAGGUCUUACAUUUAAAGCUUUAAUCCACCCUGAGUUAAUUUGCGUAUAUGGUGAUAGGUAGGGGUCCAGUUUCAUUCUUCUGCGUAUGGCUAG